rnacentral:rRNA from 1 species
GACGGAAGGUGCAAGCGUUGCUCGGAAUCACUGGGCGUAAAGGGUGCGUAGGCGGCCGCGCAAGUCUGGCGUGAAAGCCCCGGGCUCAGCCCGGGAAGGGCGCUCGAAACGGCGCGGCUCGAGUGCCGGAGGGGAGAGUGGAAUUCCUGGUGUAGCGGUGAAAUGCGUAGAUAUCAGGAGGAACACCGGUGGUGUAAACGGCUUUCUGGACCAUAACUGACACUGAGGCACGAAAGCGUGGGUAGCAAACAGG